GCUUAACACAUGCAAGUCGAACGGAAAGGCCCUGCUUUUGUGGGGUGCUCGAGUGGCGAACGGGUGAGUAACACGUGAGUAACCUGCCCUUGACUUUGGGAUAACUUCAGGAAACUGGGGCUAAUACCGGAUAGGAGCUCCUGCUGCAUGGUGGGGGUUGGAAAGUUUCGGCGGUUGGGGAUGGACUCGCGGCUUAUCAGCUUGUUGGUGGGGUAGUGGCUUACCAAGGCUUUGACGGGUAGCCGGCCUGAGAGGGUGACCGGCCACAUUGGGACUGAGAUACGGCCCAGACUCCUACGGGAGGCAGCAGUGGGGAAUAUUGCACAAUGGGCGGAAGCCUGAUGCAGCAACGCCGCGUGCGGGAUGACGGCCUUCGGGUUGUAAACCGCUUUCGCCUGUGACGAAGCGUGAGUGACGGUAAUGGGUAAAGAAGCACCGGCUAACUACGUGCCAGCAGCCGCGGUGAUACGUAGGGUGCGAGCGUUGUCCGGAUUUAUUGGGCGUAAAGGGCUCGUAGGUGGUUGAUCGCGUCGGAAGUGUAAUCUUGGGGCUUAACCCUGAGCGUGCUUUCGAUACGGGUUGACUUGAGGAAGGUAGGGGAGAAUGGAAUUCCUGGUGGAGCGGUGGAAUGCGCAGAUAUCAGGAGGAACACCAGUGGCGAAGGCGGUUCUCUGGGCCUUUCCUGACGCUGAGGAGCGAAAGCGUGGGGAGCGAACAGGCUUAGAUACCCUGGUAGUCCACGCUGUAAACGGUGGGUACUAGGUGUGGGGUCCAUUCCACGGGUUCCGUGCCGUAGCUAACGCUUUAAGUACCCCGCCUGGGGAGUACGGCCGCAAGGCUAAAACUCAAAGGAAUUGACGGGGCCCCGCACAAGCGGCGGAGCAUGCGGAUUAAUUCGAUGCAACGCGUAGAACCUUACCUGGGUUUGACAUGGAUCGGGAGUGCUCAGAGAUGGGUGUGCCUCUUUUGGGGUCGGUUCACAGGUGGUGCAUGGCUGUCGUCAGCUCGUGUCGUGAGAUGUUGGGUUAAGUCCCGCAACGAGCGCAACCCUUGUUCACUGUUGCCAGCACGUUAUGGUGGGGACUCAGUGGAGACCGCCGGGGUCAACUCGGAGGAAGGUGGGGAUGACGUCAAGUCAUCAUGCCCCUUAUGUCCAGGGCUCCACGCAUGCUACAAUGGCUGGUACAGAGAGUGGCGAGCCUGUGAGGGUGAGCGAAUCUCGGAAAGCCGGUCUCAGUUCGGAUUGGGGUCUGCAACUCGACCUCAUGGAGUCGGAGUCGCUAGUAAUCGCAGAUCAGCAACGCUGCGGUGAAUACGUUCCCGGGGCUUGUACACACCGCCCGUCAAGUCAUGAAAGUUGGUAACACCCGAAGCCGGUGGCCUAACCGUUGUGGGGGAGCCGUCGAAGGUGGGACUGGUGAUUAGGACUAAGUCA
rnacentral:rRNA from 1 species